rnacentral:lncRNA from 1 species
UGAGAGGAUAUGGUUGGGGUCAUCAUUAACUUCUUCCAUAAAAUCAUAGACAUUUCAUUAUUUCACCAAUAUGUAUCAUGCUAUUUAUUUUGUUCCAUUCUAUUUGGGUUUAGGAUUUAUAUUUGGGUUUAGGGUUUAGUGAAUAUGGUUUAGGGUUUAGUAUUAGAAGGUGAGAGGAUAUGGUUAGGGUCGGCAUUAACUUCUUCUAUGAAAUCAUAAAUAUUUUAUUAUUUCACCAAUACAUACUAUGCUAUUUAUUUUUUUCUAUUCUAUUUGGGUUUAUGGUUUAUAUUUGAUUUUAGGGUUUAGUGAAUAUGGUUUAGUAUUUAGAAGGUGAGAAGAUAUGGUUGGGAUCAACAGUAACCUCUUCCUUGAAAUCAUAGACAUUUCAUUAUUUUACCAAUAUAUAUCAUGAUAUUUAUUUUGUUUCAUUAUAUUUGGGUUUAAGGUUUAAAUUUGGGUUUAGAGUUUAGUGAAUAUGGUUUAGGGUUUAGUAUUUAGAAGGUGAGGGGAUACAGUUGGGUCACAUUAACUUUUUCCAUGAAAUCAUAGAUAUUUCAUAAUUUCACCAAUAUAUACCAUGCUAUUUUUUUUUGUUCCAUUCUAUUCGGGUUUAUGGUUUAUAUUUGAGUUUAGAGUUUAGUGAAUAUGGUUUAGGGUUAUAGUAUUUAGAAGAUGAGGAGGUAUAGUUGGGAUCAACAUCAACUUCUUCUACGAAAUUAUAGACAUUUCAUAGUUUUAUCAAUAUAUACCAUGUUAUUUAUUUUGUUUCAUUCUAUUUGGGUUUAGAAUUUAUAUUUGGGUUUAGAGUUAUGUAUUUGAGUUUAGGGUUUAUUGAUUAAGGUUUAGGGUUUAGUAUUAAGGGGUUGGGGUGGGAUUUGGAUAAUAUUUAGUAUAUAGGGGUUAGAGUUAGGAUAAUGUUUAGUAUUAGAGUAUGUGAGUGAGGUUAGAAAUCUAUUUUAUUUCGGUGAUGUGGAAUAGAACACCGAAACAUAUGUAUGUGGUCAUAAAUAUGUGACAUGGUUCUUUAUAUUCACUCAGAUGUGAUUUAAAUAUUAGCCAUACCUCAAUUUGUUUACGUCAUCUAACUUUUUAUCUUUCACCGGUUACUUGCACCAACCAAGGGUAUUACCGGAUCAAAUGGACCGUAAAUGUUACUUACCCAAUUACGUCAAAAUCAAUGUCAUUCUCUUAAUUUCACUUCAAAUUUUAGCUAUUUGGCUAAUUGACCCAAACAUCAAACUUAAAAGACUAAAAAUAUUUUG